rnacentral:misc_RNA from 1 species
GAUGAAGAACGUAGCGAAAUGCGAUACUUGGUGUGAAUUGCAGAAUCCCGUGAACCAUCGAGUUUUUGAACGCAAGUUGCGCCCGAAGCCGUUAGGCCGAGGGCACGCCUGCCUGGGUGUCACACAUCGUUGCCCCAAUGCCAAUCGCCUCACUUUGUAGGUAUUUGCUUGGGGUGAAUGUUGGCCUCCCGUGAGCUUUGUCUCACGGUUGGUUGAAAAUCGAGUCCUUGGUAGGGUGUGCCAUGAUAGAUGGUGGUAGAGUUUGCACGAGACCGAUCAUGUGUGCGCUCCCCAAAAUAUGGACUCUUUGACCCCACACGCGUCUUUUGAUGCUCAUGACGAGACCUCAGGUCAGGCGGGGCUACCCGCUGAGUUUAAGCAUAUCAAUAAGCGGAGGA